rnacentral:rRNA from 1 species
UACCAGCACCCCGAGUGGUCGGGACGUUUAUUGGGCCUAAAGCAUCCGUAGCCGGUUCUACAAGUCUUCCGUUAAAUCCACCUGCUCAACAGAUGGGCUGCGGAAAAUACUAUGGAGCUAGGAGGCGGGAGAGGCAAGCGGUACUCGAUGGGUAGGGGUAAAAUCCGUUGAUCCAUUGAAGACCACCAGUGGCGAAGGCGGCUUGCCAGAACGCGCUCGACGGUGAGGGAUGAAAGCUGGGGGAGCAAACCGG